rnacentral:tRNA from 1 species
GCUGUGGCUCAGCGGUAGAGCAUCUGGUUUGCAUGCAGAAGGUUCCAGGUUCAAUUCCCAGCCUCUCCA